AUUGCUUCUUGGCCUUUUGGCUAAGAUCAAAUGUAGCAUCUGUUCUUAUCAGUGUAAAAUAUGCGUUCCCAGAUCACUGAAUCAGACCUCUGAGAUCGAGGCGCAUAAAUCCACACGCUCCCAGAUGAUGCCUCUGAAGAGUGUCUAGCCU
rnacentral:snRNA from 1 species